rnacentral:rRNA from 1 species
AUACGUAGGUGGCAAGCGUUGUCCGGAUUUAUUGGGCGUAAAGCGAGCGCAGGCGGUUUUUUAAGUUCUGAUGUGAAAGCCUUCCGGCUCAACCGAACGAAGUGCAUCGGAAACUGGGAAACUUGAGUGCAGAAGAGGACAGUGGAACUCCAUGUGUAGCGGUGAAAUGCGUAGAUAUAUGGAAGAACACCAGUGGCGAAGGCGGCUGUCUGGUCUGUAACUGACGCUGAGGCUCGAAAGUAUGGGUAGC